ensembl:lncRNA
GGAUGCUGAAGACCUAUGUGGACUCGCAUGGGUACUGCAGCACCCUUCACAACAGCUAAGGUGUGGAAACAGCCUAAGUGUCACACGCCAGCAGAUGAUGGAUAAGAAGACGUGGUAUAGAUGCACAAUGGGAUAGUCUUCAGCCAUGAGAAAGAAGGACAUCCUGCCAUUGGGGACAUGGUUGGACCUUGAGGACAUAAAGUCAGGCAGAGACAAAUGGAACUCGGCGACUCUCCGUUUCACCGAGAUGUUUUCACCAGCGUUUGCAACUAGUGUGUUGAAUAAGCCGGGCUCGUGGUCUCAGGGGAAUGCAGCUUCAGGUUUUUUUUUUUUUUUUUUUUUUCUGCUGCCCCUUUAAAAUGGAUUCAGCGAGAUGAAUGUUUCCUGGCCUGGGAUGAAAACGCUGGCAGGCGCUGCCUUUUUUGCUCCUCUUAGGAAAUAGUCUGUCCUAAGGUCGCUUUAAAUGGAAAACAGUCUCAAUUUGGAAUUUGAAUAUCCAGGCCAAGAUAUUAGUCAAAACCCUCAAAUUUGACAUCCCAUUCUUCACCCCAGCUCCAGCUUAGCUUGCUUAGGGCUGGAAGCCUCCGUGGGAAAGGGGGCUUCUCUGCUGGACUCCGAUGGCCCCUCCCACUCCUCCCCGAGUGGGGAGCUGGGGUUCAGGGUGAGAGGAAGGCAGAGCAUAGCUCUUACUUGAGUGGGUGCGGUGGGACCCUGCUGCGGUUGAAGCUGACCUUUCUCCUGAGGUGUCCCUCUUCUGGGUGGUCACUUGCAGCUUUUCCCUCCUCUUCUUGCUGCGGGGAGUCUCUGCCCCUCCAGGCAGAGAUGAGAAAUAGGGACGAGGUCAUCCUGGCUCCCUUCCAUGAGGUCCACAUCUGGCUCUGACCUUCACACAUCACUCUGCCUGACAAACUCCGGGAUGCAGGGUGACCCCAACCCCAGCUUGCUCCUGGCCCCACCCCCCAAGCAGAAUGCUGCAGAUGAAUUAGUUCCCUGUGGAUGCUGUUACAAAUGACCACAGACGUGACAGCUUGAAAGGAAAAGAAUGUACCCUUCCACACCUUGGAGGACAGGAGGCUGAAAUCAGUUUACUGGGCGGAAAUCCAGUGUCAGGAGGGCUGAGCUCACUCUACAGGCUCUAGAGGGAUUCAUCUUGUUGCCUCUCCCGCUUCUGGUGGCUGCCAGAAUUUCUUGGGUUGUGGCCCCAUCCCCUCUGGUGACAUUUGACAUCGCCUCCUUGUGUGGUUAAACCUCCCUCUGCCUCCCUCUAGUGGGCAUAUGUGCAAUUGCAUGUAGGGCUCUGGAAAUCCAGGAUAACUCCCCAUCUCAAGUGUCUUCGUUUAAACCCAUCUCUGUUUCCAAAUAAGAGACUCUUUUUCCAAAUAAGGUGCUUAAUCCCACCUGCAAAGACUCUUGCCAAUAAAGUCACAUUUACAAGUUCCAGGAAUUAGACUUGACCUCAGUUGGGCCUUUAUUCAGCCCACUGACCCCCACCCCUAUUUCCUUGAUGGGAAAAGGCCCCAGACUUUUCUGCCUUUCAGCUAAAAGGAGUCACAUGAAAAGUUCUCCAAGCAACUUUGGGGAAACCCCCAACGCGAUUGAGGUUAGCAGAUUGUCAUUUGAUAAGGUUCAAAUGCACGUGUGAACUCAGCUGAGAUGGACAAGCUGGCCUGGCAAGAAAAUGUGUUCCCCAGCUCUCAGAAAGUGGGUCCAGCUUUUAGGGAAGACAAUGGAACAGAUUUGUUUGGAAGAUUCUGGAAUGUUCCUAGGAUACCUCCUUUUAUUGCCUUCUUCCACCUAAGCAGUCCCUACUGCCUGCAGCUGGAAUUGCCUCGGGCUAGUCCUCUCUGCUCUGCCUGUGCCAUCUGCAAACUGAAGAUAGGAUACAUGCGGACAAAGGCUCGACAGAGAAUGAAAGACCCCAACCAAGGGGGAGCCAAGGGCCAUCUUAGAAACACAUGUGGCACCUUAAACCAAAAGCACCUUAAAAAAUCACCUAAAAGGAUUUCCCAUCAUGGCGCAGCAGAAACGAAUCCGACUGGAACCGUGAGGUUGUGGGUUUGA